CGCUAAGAAGCUAAAUAGGGACCUCAGCGUUAGCCUUUUAAGCUAAAAAUUGGUGACUCCCAACCACCCCUAGCGAC
rnacentral:tRNA from 1 species